GAGUUUGAUCAUGGCUCAGGAUGAACGCUAGCGGCAGGCUUAACACAUGCAAGUCGAGGGGUAACAGGAGUAGCUUGCUAUUUGCUGACGACCGGCGCACGGGUGCGUAACGCGUAUAGAAUCUACCUUAUACUGGGGGAUAGCCUUUGGAAACGAAGAUUAAUACCCUAUAGUAUUAUUUUUUGGCAUCAUUAAAUAAUUAAAGUUUCGGCGGUAUAAGAUGACUAUGCGUUCUAUUAGUUAGUUGGUAAGGUAACGGCUUACCAAGACUUCGAUAGAUAGGGGUCCUGAGAGGGAGAUCCCCCACACUGGUACUGAGACACGGACCAGACUCCUACGGGAGGCAGCAGUGAGGAAUAUUGGACAAUGGAGGCAACUCUGAUCCAGCCAUGCCGCGUGUAGGAAGACUGCCCUAUGGGUUGUAAACUACUUUUAUAUGGGAAGAAUAAGAUCUACGUGUAGAUUGAUGACGGUACCAUAAGAAUAAGCACCGGCUAACUCCGUGCCAGCAGCCGCGGUAAUACGGAGGGUGCAAGCGUUAUCCGGAAUCAUUGGGUUUAAAGGGUCCGUAGGCGGGCAUAUAAGUCAGUGGUGAAAGUCUGUGGCUUAACCAUAGAAUUGCCAUUGAUACUGUAUGUCUUGAAUUAUUGUGAAGUGGUUAGAAUAUGUAGUGUAGCGGUGAAAUGCUUAGAGAUUACAUAGAAUACCGAUUGCGAAGGCAGAUCACUAACAAUAUAUUGACGCUGAUGGACGAAAGCGUAGGUAGCGAACAGGAUUAGAUACCCUGGUAGUCUACGCCGUAAACGAUGGAUACUAGUUGUUUGGUUUUCGGACUGAGUGACUAAGCGAAAGUGAUAAGUAUCCCACCUGGGGAGUACGUUCGCAAGAAUGAAACUCAAAGGAAUUGACGGGGGCCCGCACAAGCGGUGGAGCAUGUGGUUUAAUUCGAUGAUACGCGAGGAACCUUACCAGGGCUUAAAUGUAGUCUGACAGCUUUAGAGAUAGAGUUUUCUUCGGACAGAUUACAAGGUGCUGCAUGGUUGUCGUCAGCUCGUGCCGUGAGGUGUCAGGUUAAGUCCUAUAACGAGCGCAACCCCUGUGGUUAGUUGCCAGCGAGUAAUGUCGGGAACUCUAGCCAGACUGCCGGUGCAAACCGUGAGGAAGGUGGGGAUGACGUCAAAUCAUCACGGCCCUUACGUCCUGGGCCACACACGUGCUACAAUGGUAGGGACAGAGAGCAGCCACUUAGCGAUAAGGAGCGAAUCUAUAAACCCUAUCUCAGUUCGGAUUGGAGUCUGCAACUCGACUCCAUGAAGCUGGAAUCGCUAGUAAUCGGAUAUCAGCCAUGAUCCGGUGAAUACGU
rnacentral:rRNA from 1 species